rnacentral:rRNA from 1 species
CACAUGCAAGUCGCACGAGAAAGCUUGAGCUUGCUUGGUGCGAGCUAAGUGGCGCACGGGUGAGUAACGCGUGGAUAAUCUACCUGGGGAGUCGGGAGUAACAGUGCGAAAGAGGUGCUAAUACCGGAUAACAUCACGGAAGCUUUGGUUUUUGUGAUCAAAGAUGGCCUCUGCAAGCAAGCUAUCGCUUGGAGAUGAGUUCGCGUACCAUUAGCUUGUUGGUGGGGUAACGGCCUACCAAGGCGACGAUGGUUAGCUGGUCUGAGAGGAUGAUCAGCCACACUGGCACGGAGGGCACGGGCCAGACUCCUACGGGAGGCAGCGAGUGAGGAAUUUUGCGCAAUGGGGGCAACCCUGACGCAGCAACGCCGCGUGAGUGAAGAAGGCUUUCGGGUCGUAAAGCUCUGUCAAGUGGGAAGAACCCUUCUGAGGUCAACAGCCUUGGGAGCUGACGGUACCACUGAAGGAAGCACCGGCUAACUCCGUGCCAGCAGCCGCGGUAAUACGGAGGGUGCAAGCGUUAUUCGGAAUUACUGGGUGUAAAGGGCGCGCAGGCGGCCUGUUGAGUCAGUUGUGAAAGCCCGGGGCUCAACCCCGGAAGUGCGACUGAAACUGGCGGGCUUGAGUAUGGGAGAGGGAAGUGGAAUUCCUGGUGUAGCGGUGAAGUGCGUAGAUAUCAGGAGGAACACCGGUGGCGAAGGCGACU